rnacentral:rRNA from 1 species
GUAGGGAAUAUUGCAAAAUGGGCGAAAGCCCGAUGCAGCAACGCCGCGUGGGCGAUGAAGGCCUUCGGGUCGUAAAGCCCUUUUUGAGGGGAUGAGGAAGGACAGUACCCUCAGAAUAAGCCUCGGCUAACUACGUGCCAGCAGCCGCGGUAAAACGUAGGCGGCGAGCGUUAUCCGGAUUUACUGGGCGUAAAGCGCGUGCAGGCGGAUUGGAGAGUUGGAUGUGAAAGCUCCCGGCUUAACUGGGAGAGGUCGUUCAAUACUUCCAGUCUUGAGUGCAGUAGAGGGAAGUGGAAUUCCGGGUGUAGUGGUGAAAUGCGUAGAUAUCCGGAGGAACACCAGUGGCGAAAGCGGCUUCCUGGACUGUAACUGACGCUCAGACGCGAAAGCUAGGGUAGCAAACG